rnacentral:tRNA from 1 species
UAGUACAACUUAGUAUAAGUGACUUCCAAUCACCCGGCCUUGGUUAAAAUCCAGGGAAAGAUA